rfam:Mustela putorius furo unplaced genomic scaffold scaffold00371, whole genome shotgun sequence.
UCACCAAGAGAUACCACCCUGAACGUGCCUGAUCUCGUCUGAUCUCAGAAGUUAAGCAGGGUCGGGCCUGGUGAGUACUUGGGUGGGUGAAAAAGUCAAGCAGAACCUCAGGAGACAUGACAAC